UGGGGGAUAUUGCACAAUGGGCGAAAGCCUGAUGCAGCGACGCCGCGUGGGGGAUGAAGGCUUUCGGGUUGUAAACCUCUUUCGCUAUCGAACAAGGCCCGCUUAGGGUGGGUUGAGGGUAGGUGGAGAAGAAGCGCCGGCUAACUACGUGCCAGCAGCCGCGGUAAUACGUAGGGCGCGAGCGUUGUCCGGAAUUAUUGGGCGUAAAGGGCUUGUAGGCGGCUUGUUGCGCCUGCUGUGAAAACGCGGGGCUUAACUUCGCGCGUGCAGUGGGUACGGGCAGGCUUGAGUGUGGUAGGGGUGACUGGAAUUCCAGGUGUAGCGGUGGAAUGCGCAGAUAUCUGGAGGAACACCGAUGGCGAAGGCAGGUCACAAGGCCAUUACUGACGCUGAGGAGCGAAAGCAUGGGUAGCGAACAGG
rnacentral:rRNA from 1 species